GCUCCCCCUGCCAGCAGCAAAGAGGUUAAAAAUACAGUUUUACCAAAGGGAGGAAAAAAUCCUUGGCUAUAAGAGAAGAAGUGAGAAAACAAGGCUCCCCUUUUCUUUCUGGCGGACCUCACAAAGCGGUUUACAUACGAUUCUACAACAUGUUGCAAGAACACCUGCACUUGGCUGACUUUCUCUUCUCCUAAAGAUACAGGAUCAAUCUCAGGCCCUGAACCUGGCAACCCUAAUUGUGCUGGUCUUUAUGAGCUGCCUUAUGACUCAGAGUGGCUAUCACUCUGCCAAGCCCAGGAGAAAAGUUUGUCAUUGUGACCUCAUGCUGAUGCUGCCUACCUAAAGAAGAGAAAGAGAGACUGGAUAUUGUGACUUCUUGCUGAUGCUGCCUGUUUGAAGGAGGGGUGGGCCACUGUGACCUCAUGCUGGCCAUUAUGUUCUCAUGUUGAUGUUGCCUGCUUGAAAGAGACAGACUGACCAUUGUAACAUCAUGUUGAUGCUGCUCACCUGAAGGAGAGAGAUUAUCUGCUGUGACCUCAUGCUGCUGUUGAAGGAGAGAGCCUGGCCAUUGUGACUUCAUGCUGAUGUCACCAGCUUAGAUGAAGAAGAGAGAGAGACUGGCCUAUGGGCCAACUCCUUUGAGUAGAAAGGUAGCUUUUGUGCUCUGGAAUUGACAACACAUUCUUAACUUUCUCACAUUCCCAUCCUCUCAAAUGCAACUUUCAUCUCUCCUAAGGCAGGUGAGUACCACUGUGUACCAAUGCUUUUUAGAAUGUGGAAAUUUGGCCUCUGGCUCCUAUUGCCUUCCAGUGAGAGCAUCUCAAUUGCACAGAGUUUCUAUUUGUGUGGAGGAUUCUAAGUGUGUAAAGAUCUACUGUAGUCCCCAAUGAGGUGUCCAGUGCAACGUCUGGUGCAACUUCUUGGGAACAGUUUCAGUUGACGUGGCCUGAUGAUGUAGAAAAGGUGCUUGCGAUGAUGCGGCCAGCAACAUGUCCUCUUGACCCUUGCCCUUUUUGGCUUAUUAAAGCUUGUUGAGGGGGUUUGACCGAGUGGAUCCAGGGUGUGGUCAAUGCAUCAUUGCGGGAGGGAGUGGUUCCAGCUGCCCUGAAAGAGGUGGUGAUCCGACCCCUCCUGAAAAAGCCCGCCCUGGACCCACUAGUCUGUGACAAUUACCGACCAGUCACAAAUACCCCCUUUUUAGGAAAGGUGAUUGAGAGGGUUGUGGCACAGCAAUUGCAAGUACUCUUGGAUGAAACAGAUUAUCUUGACCCAUUCCAGUCUGGGUUCAGGCCUGCUUAUGGGACUGAAUUGGCCUUGGUUGCCCUGAUGGAUGACCUUUAUUGGGAGAAGAACAGGGGGAGUGUAAUGGGGAAUUUUAUACAUCCAUACAUAUAUACUCAUAGAUAUUAAGAAGGCACAUUUCUUUUAUAAUCAUGAGUUAAAUAUUGAACUUCAGGCCUAUUGGGGUCCUGAGAUUCAGGGAGCCCUGAAUCUUAAACAUUUAAUUCAGGCUAACAGCAAAAACCUGUUGCAAUGGAAACGGGUCACAAUGAUCUCCUGGUUCUUUGCCAAGAUCCAGCUGAUGCAUGAUUAAUUACUUUAUUGUUUGGAAUCAAAAAUUAUUAUUAUUAUUAUUAUUUAUUACACUUUUAUACCGCCCGACUAGCAAUAGCUCUCUGGGCGGUGAACACAAGAGUACAAUAAAAUCACACAAUAUAAUACAAUAGAGCAUAUAAAAACAACAUAAUCUAAAAUCAAUUACAACACAUUUAAAAUUAAGUUAACUUAAAUUAAAAUGCCUCGGAAAAGAGGAAGGUUUUAACUUGGCGCCGAAAGGAUAAUAGUGUCGGCGCCAAGCGCACCUCCUCGGGGAGACUGUUCCACAAUUUGGGGGCCACCACUGAGAAGGCCCUAGAUCUUGUCACCACCCUCCGGGCCUCCUUAUGAGACGGGACCCGGAGGAGGGCCUUCGUAGUAGACCGUAGUGUACGGGCCGGUUCAUAUCGAGAGAGGCGUUCUGACAGAUAUCGUGGUCCCACGCCGUAUAAGGCUUUAUAGGUCAAUACCAACACUUUGAAUCUGGCCCAGAAGCAUAUUGGGAGCAAGUGCAGGCGAGCCAGAACAGGUGUUAUAUGCUCAGACCGCUUGGUCCUUGUCAGCAAUCUGGCCGCCACAUUUUGCACUAGCUGUAGCUUCCGAAUUGUCUUCAAAGGUAGACCUACGUAGAGCGCGUUGCAGUAGUCCAAACGCGAGGUUACCAGAGCAUGUACAACUGAUGUGAGGUCCUCCUUACUCAAAUAGGGAUGUAGCUGGGCUACCAACCGAAGUUGGUAGAACGCAUUCCGUGCCACCGAGGCUACAUGAGCCUCAAGUGAGAGGAAAGAGUCUAAGAGGACUCCCAAACUACGGACCUGCUCCUUUAGGGGGAGUGUAACCGCAUCCAGGACAGGGUAUGUAUCCACCAUCCGAUCAGAGAAACCAUCCACCAGCAGCAUCUCAGUCUUGUCAGGAUUGAGCCUCAGUUUGUUAGUUCUCAUCCAGUCCAUUGUCGCGGCCAGGCAACAGUUCAGCACAUCGACAGCCUCACCUGAGAAUGAUGAAAAGGAGAAGUAGAGCUUAGGAGCGAGAGAAGCUGUGAUUGAUGAAAUGAGUAGGGAUUGCCAAUGUUUGAUUCUUGAAUGCCAUCUAAAGGAGAAAGGUUUUACAGCAUAAUCAAAAUGUUUUAAUGAAAAGAAAUAGUAAUGAUUUUAAAACAAAUCAGUGUAUUAAAUUUACAACUUUUUAAGUGUGUUUUUAUUAAGAAAAGGGUACAUCUGGGGUGGCCUGCCUGCCUGCCUCUAUAUUUCUGAGGCUGAAAAAGAUACCAGUUAGCCAGAGUCAUCCAGCCUUUUUUCCUUAGUCUGUGUAGUUUUACAAGGUAGAUCAGGGAUUUAAAUAAAACCCUCUUUCAUGAGCUAUGUAUUUUAUAAGUAAGGAAAUUGGAUUUCUGAGGAAGUAUAAGAACAUAAGAACCCCUAUGGCAAAGGAAUAGAACUGGUGGUGCUCAUACAUUUAUAAACACCCUAAGUUAAGUUCCCAAACUUAACUCAAGGGAACUUGUCCAAAUUUCUCCGGUGCACCUGGUCAGCCUGACUGAUCAGAAACGAUACAACAAUGGCAUAUGGAAUGUACUGGGUAUGCUUGAAAACAUUCACAGUAGUAACUGUUCCAACUAGAACCAAAAUUCAUUAGUCUUGAAGAGACAGUAGGACAAUGGUAACAUUUAUGAUAUGGACAGAAUCUUGGAAAUCACCACUGGAGUUAGCUAAUGCUUUCUGAUUGAUUUGGAACAAUGUUAUGUGGGCAAGGACUCAUAAGAUUGGUGAAAUCAUUGUCACAUGUUGUAAUUGUAUUAUGUAAAAGAGCUUGCACUCAGUGUCUCAGUGCAGUCUCUCUUGGAUGUUUCUGGGAGGCUGACCCUGCAUGUGCAUGUAAAGAAUAAAGGCCUACCUUUUUGCUCCAAGCCUGUGUCUUCAAAUUUAUUUAAGGACCCCCAGCAA